rnacentral:rRNA from 1 species
GAUGAACGCUGGCGGCGUGCCUAAUACAUGCCAGUCGAGCGAACAGAUAAGGAGCUUGCUCCUUUGACGUUAGCGGCGGACGGGUGAGUAACACGUGGGUAACCUACCUAUAAGACUGGAAUAACUCCGGGAAACCGGGGCUAAUGCCGGAUAACAUUUAGAACCGCAUGGUUCUAAAGUGAAAGAUGGUUUUGCUAUCACUUAUAGAUGGACCCGCGCCGUAUUAGCUAGUUGGUAAGGUAACGGCUUACCAAGGCAACGAUACGUAGCCGACCUGAGAGGGGGAUCGGCCACACUGGAACUGAGACACGGUCCAGACUCCUACGGGAGGCAGCAGUAGGGAAUCUUCCGCAAUGGGCGGAAACCUGACGGAGCAACGCCGCGUGAGUGAUGAAGGUCUUCGGAUCGUAAAACUCUGUUAUUAGGGAAGAACAAAUGUGUAAGUAACUGUGCACGUCUUGACGGUACCUAAUCAGAAAGCCACGGCUAACUACGUG